AUUGAACGCUGGCGGCAUGCUUUACACAUGCAAGUCGGACGGCAGCACAGAGGAGCUUGCUUCUUGGGUGGCGAGUGGCGAACGGGUGAGUAACGCAUCGGAACGUACCGAGUAAUGGGGGAUAACUGUCCGAAAGGACAGCUAAUACCGCAUACGCCCUGAGGGGGAAAGCGGGGGAUCUUAGGACCUCGCGUUAUUCGAGCGGCCGAUGUCCGAUUAGCUGGUUGGCGGGGUAAAGGCCCACCAAGGCGACGAUCAGUAGCGGGUCUGAGAGGAUGAUCCGCCACACUGGGACUGAGACACGGCCCAGACUCCUACGGGAGGCAGCAGUGGGGAAUUUUGGACAAUGGGCGCAAGCCUGAUCCAGCCAUGCCGCGUGUCUGAAGAAGGCCUUCGGGUUGUAAAGGACUUUUGUCAGGGGAGAAAAGGAACGUGUUAAUACCAUGUUCUGAUGACGGUACCUGAAGAAUAAGCACCGGCUAACUACGUGCCAGCAGCCGCGGUAAUACGUAGGGUGCGAGCGUUAAUCGGAAUUACUGGGCGUAAAGCGGGCGCAGACGGUUACUUAAGCGGGAUGUGAAAUCCCCGGGCUCAACCCGGGAACUGCGUUCCGAACUGGGUGGCUAGAGUGUGUCAGAGGGGGGUAGAAUUCCACGUGUAGCAGUGAAAUGCGUAGAGAUGUGGAGGAAUACCGAUGGCGAAGGCAGCCCCCUGGGAUAACACUGACGUUCAUGCCCGAAAGCGUGGGUAGCAAACGGG
rnacentral:rRNA from 1 species